rnacentral:tRNA from 1 species
ACUCUACUAGGAUGAUGCAC